UCCUAAAGGGUUGUUCGAGACUAGAACGUUGAUAGGCAGGGUGUGUAAGCGUUGUGAGGCGUUGAGCUAACCUGUACUAAUUGCCCGUGAGGCUUAACCAUACAACACCCAAGGGGUUUUGUA
rnacentral:rRNA from 1 species